rnacentral:rRNA from 1 species
GACGAACGCUGGCGGCGUGCCUAAUACAUGCAAGUCGAACGCACGAAGUUGAAGAGCUUGCUCUUUAACCAAGUGAGUGGCGGACGGGUGAGUAACACGUGGGUAACCUGCCCAUUAGAGGGGGAUAACAUUCGGAAACGGAUGCUAAUACCGCAUAGUUUCAGGGAUCGCAUGAUUCUUGAAGGAAAGGUGGCUUCGGCUACCACUAAUGGAUGGACCCGCGGCGUAUUAGCUAGCUGGUGAGGUAAUGGCUCACCAAGGCAAUGAUACGUAGCCGACCUGAGAGGGUGAUCGGCCACACUGGGACUGAGACACGGCCCAGACUCCUACGGGAGGCAGCAGUAGGGAAUCUUCCGCAAUGGACGAAAGUCUGACGGAGCAACGCCGCGUGAGUGAAGAAGGUUUUCGGAUCGUAAAACUCUGUUGUUAAAGAAGAACAAGGAUGAGAGUAACUGCUCAUCCCCUGACGGUAUUUAACCAGAAAGCCACGGCUAACUACGUGCCAGCAGCCGCGGUAAUACGUAGGUGGCAAGCGUUGUCCGGAUUUAUUGGGCGUAAAGCGAGCGCAGGCGGUUCUUUAAGUCUGAUGUGAAAGCCCCCGGCUCAACCGGGGAGGGUCAUUGGAAACUGGAGAACUUGAGUGCAGAAGAGGAGAGUGGAAUUCCACGUGUAGCGGUGAAAUGCGUAGAUAUGUGGAGGAACACCAGUGGCGAAGGCGACUCUCUGGUCUGUAACUGACGCUGAGCUCGAAAGCGUGGGGAGCAAACAGG